UCAGGAAAUAAUCAGGCAUUAACAUUGUCAUUUUAUCUCUCUUCUUUCUAACAACCCAUCUCUUUAUCUUUUCUUUGUUCUAGCAAAAAUUCUUAAGGAGGCAGAAGAAGAAGAGAACCAUCGUAAGAAGAUAAAGACUUCUUACUCGCAUUUGAUAGACCGGUAAAUGUGACGAACGAAGAAAAGUGCAGCGCGGAAGCCGACAGUCCCGAGCAUUAAGAAGAACCCGUAGCAAAUGCAAGCCAUGUACCCGAAGAAGAACGAUGUUUGCAUGAAUCCAGACAUGUCUGAUCGUGCGUAGUAGUAGUAUAAGCAGUAGGCGUAGAUAAACAAACCGGUCGACCCACCGCAUAGGAAUGAUCUGCAAAUAAAAACAGUCUCAGGUUCUAUUGUUCAGAGAGAGAAGAAGGUAAAGACAAUGGGAAAUGGCUUAACGAACCUCCACCACCAUUGGUGAUCUUCAGCAGCGAGCUGGAAGUAAGUCAAGGCGACGGUUAUAAAAGCAGUGACAAUGAUGAGGAUGAUGAAGACAAUGAACAGGAUGCUGUAGAUGGUGUAGAUCCGGUGACCCCAGACACUAGCGAAAAUGUAGUAAAGCUCGAUGUAGAUGGCACUGAAAGGAAGAAAACCAGCCAUGGCCAUCUGAGGAACCGCGCUUCUGUACCAAGGGAGCGGCGGAAUCUCGCGGGGGUACUUGGUCGUGCGGCAGGGCGCUUGGAACUCAGCUUUGCUGUUUUUACCGGCGAUGCCACCUAAGACGAGUAGAGGCGAUGUGACUAGAGUCCAUAUAAGGACGAUCACGACAAUGGUUCCAAAGGGUAGUGCUGCGGUUGCAGUGUAGGUGAUGGCUACGGUGUUGAGGAAGCAGAAGGUUAGGAGUAAAGGACCGCAGAAGAGACAUCCAGUGAGUAACAAGUUUCUCACCUGCAGUAAUGUGAAACAAAAAAGUCGUUUAGUUUAUGUAAGAAGAUGAUUUGAGAAAGGAUUUGAAGUAAAAAUUAUUUACCCAGCUUUUGCCUUCAAGUUGGCAGUAGAAAGAGGCGGAUGUGUAUCCAGCAAUUCCAGAGGUUAGAGCGUAAAUGACAACCAAAGCGGUGAAGAGUGCUCCUCGGUUGUAAGGGUAGAACACUCCAACAAGAGCAAGCAUGAAAAUGAAUAUGGUCCUGAUGGGCGUGGACAAGCAAGGUAAACGCUACUGUGAGUGAUAGUGAAGAAAUGGUUUAAGUAGAGUUAUGAAACACUUACAGGGUAAACAAUUGUGUGCCACUACCAAGCGAUGCAGCAAACAAAGAGUUGCGAGUUGGGAACCUAAACACAUCACCAUGAAUGUACUUCCACCCAGUUUCUUCUAGAUCAUCAGCAGCUUCCUCGUCUUGAGCAUACCUGUAAAAAGAGUUAAUUAUCAGACAAUGAAAUGUAAAAUAGCCGAACCAUAAGGGGUAGGGAACACUCACUUGGUGAAAUCGUUCUUGAGGACUCGCAUCAAGAUAGUUGCAAGGAACCCAGUCAAAAGCAGGACAGUGACACACGAGUUAAUAAUAGAGAACCAGUGAAUCUCCAGGUGAUGCGGAAGAGAAGAAGACAUAGAGUACUUGUCCAUCCUCUUCUCGAACGGAGUCUCAGUCUCCUUCCACUUCACCGUAUACAUAAACUCCGCAUCAACUUCCUUAUCCUCAGUGAGAUCAACAAGCGAAUGUGGAUCCAUCCUAGCACUGAUCUCAAUCACACGGUCGUUGUUGUACAGAAUCUCGAACUCGAUGUGCUUGUACAAAAAGUACUUGUACUCGCUCGGAUCGGAUUUGAUCUCCUUGUCGACUUUCCCAAUGAAGCCCCAGAUGGGGAGAUCGUCGUAGUACAUCUGGAAGUAGUAGUCUUUCUCAACGGCUUGUCUGAACUUUCUGACCUCUUCUUUGCUUAGCUUCUUCUUGCAGUAGACUUCGGAGUCUUUCUCUUCUCUGAAGUUGAGCUUGUACGGAGCGCUGACGAGACGAUCGCCGUUCAGAACCUCUCCAAGAGCUUCCUUCUUCUCUUUCACUCCCUCUAGAAAACCAAAAUCAAACGUAUAUCAGAUAAGAAAAAAAGAAAAAAAAAACAAAUAGUGUGGUGAAUCUAUAGUACCUGGAACACAGAAGGGAAGAUCAAAGUAGCGAUACGUCUCACUGCGAUCAAAAUCGAAUAAGAAGCCAAGAUCAGUCUAUAUAGUAUUCAAAUCUAAACUCAGAUCCAUCCAUCACAAUGUCUAUAUGAAUAAUUCAACAGCAAGAGAUUCAUUGCAUUUCGCAGCUUUUACAAUCAAUCGCUGAUACAUUCUCAGAUCUGAAGUUCAGAUCUAGCGGAAAAGUCUCAGAGACACACGCGAGCGUUACCUUGGAUUGUGGAAUGGGCCGACCUUGUUGGCGUAUAGAGGAACGAUGUCUCCUUCCUUGUAACGGUGGUCGGAGGCGUCGGAUCUGACAUAGCCGACGCUGGAGAGGAUUAGAGCUCCGAGUAAGAGGAGCAGCUUCGUCAUUGCGUUUUCUCUUCUUCAAAUCAGUGAGAUCUGAGUUUGUGUUUGUGCUUUAUGAAUCUGUAUCCGACCCUCUCGAGGAGAAUUAAUCAGCCCUGUGAGUUAUAGACGAAACCGUAUUCUGGUUUACGGAUGGGCCACUCGAUUUAAAUGGGCCUUUUAAUAUCUAUAUGUAAUUGGGCCUUUUGAUAUUCAUAUGUAUAUCUGCUCCUAGUAUCCACACAUGCUUACUUUGUUGGAGAUACUUAAAACGCUUGAUGUGCCAUCUUACAAGGUAACAACAAAGCUUAGAGAGUUUUAUCGAACUAGUUUUCACUGAUUAUUGAAUUUGAGUUUCUUGUUGUUGUGUUGAGGUUCAUUUUUCAAGUGCAGUGUAUAGCAGUAUCUAAAUACAACCAACAACGAGUUCUUGGUCUAGUGGUAAAAGAGUGUCUAGCAGACACUCCACCACUCGGAUUCAAUUUUCAUCACAAAGAACUUUUACAUUGUGUAACUGGAUCAAUGUUAUAAUGAAUUUAAGCUUCAAAACUACAACAGAAAAAUUUAAAACAUUAGUCUUGUAAGAAGAUAAACUGUCGUCUUCUUGACUCUAAUGAAUGUACAAGUCUUGUAAAAGAGUUUUAGAAGCUGUGUACUCAAAGCAUGUGCAUGUGAACCUUCUUACAAAAUGCUUGGUCCGCUUCGAGGGCAUUCACUUUCAUUUUUAGCGUGUCCAUGACAUCAUAAGCUCCUCGUAGUUUCUUCCUCAAUGCAUCCUCAGUCACAUCUCUGCGUCCUCUUUCUUCUUGAAACACAUCCAUCACUGCCUUCUGCGACUUUUCAAACUCUUGGUUCUUUGCUUGUGACACCUUAAGUUGUGACUCAAGCAACCCUCUAUCUCUCUGCAGCUCUACCACCAAUUCAUCUACAACCUUUUGAGAUUCCUCCAAAUCCUGGAUCUUAGCUUUAUGUUCAUGUAACUCCUCCACCAGUUUUGAUGAUUCAACAUCUUUCACCUUGAGUGAAUCCUCCAAGUCUUGGACUACAGACUUUGAUAACUCAAGACAGGCUUUCUGUCUCUGGAGAUCAUCCUCUUUGACCUUGUGCCUCUUCUCCAAAUCUUGAAUUUUAUACUGUGACUGCUUGAUUUGCAACUCAAGCUGUCCCUUCUGUCUCUGCAGCUCAACCACAAGUUUUGCUGACUCAUAAUCUUUGACCUUGGGCCUCUUCUCCAAAUCUUGAACCUUGGAUUUUGACUGUCUGAGUUGCAGCUCAAGCUGUCUCUUCUGUCUCUGCAACUCAGCCACCUGUUUUGUCUCUACAUUUUUUAAAUUUCUUGUCUUCUCCUCAAGCUGUGCUUUCUGUCUCUUCUCCAAUUCUUGAACCCUAGCUUUUGGAUGUCUGACUUGCGGCUCAAGCUGUGCCUUCUGCUUCUGAAACUCAGCUGCUUUAUGAACUGACCUUGUUUCCUUGCAACUCACCCCAAGCCCAUUAGUCCUGUUCUUAAGCCCAAUCUCAUGCGUUCUGUUAGCAACACUUGGUUGUGUAGUCUCCUUCUGAGAGUUUCUAUUUGGCCUGCACUGAGCUGGAUCUGCACUAGUAGGAGCUUCAGUGACACCACUUUCAUGAUUCUUCUGAAUCCUCCUUGGAGCAUACCCAAUCUCAUGACACCUCUUAGACCAAUAAGUCUUCUGAUACUUGUUCAACCUGUUCUCAACUCUAGCAAGAAGAGCGCUUAAAACAACUAUUACAGUAGUUAGAAGCGACAGAGGAGGCGAGUAUGUUGGUCCAUUCAAUGCAUUUUGUAAAGAACAUGGAAUAAUCCAUCAAACUACAGCUCCUUACUCACCAGAAUCUAAUGGAGUUGCGGAACGCAAAAAUCGAACUCUAAAAGAGAUGAUGAAUGCAAUGUUGCAGGAAUCUGGGUUACCCCAGAACAUGUGGGGGGAAGCNNNNNNNNNNNNNNNNNNNNNNNNNNNNNNNNNNNNNAAGAACCGAACCGAUCCCAAUUCGAAUAAGUAGUAUCAAAUCUGAACCGAAAUUGAUUAAAUAUAUGAAUUAUUAAAAGUUUUGGUAUUUGAAGAACUGAAACCUAAUCCGAUCCAAACCAAAGUAUUUUGGGUAUCCAAAAUAGAUUUAUAUACUUAUAUAUAUUAAUUAUUUUUAGAUUUAAUAUAUAUAAAAACAUCCAAAAUAUACAGUAUAACCACUUUAAAUUAAUUCUCUAUAAAUUAAUAUACACUGAAAAUCUCUAUAUAAUAAUAUAAUUUUAUAGUCACAAAAUGAGUUUUUGGUUUAAUUAGUAUAUCGUUAAAUUAAUAUCUCUAUAAAUUAAUAAAAAAAUUAUAGUUUUGGUGUAGUCCCAACAUUAUUAAUUUAUAGAGGUUUCACUGUAUAUGAUAUUUUUAAGUUCAUUUAAAUACUUAAAAAUAUAUAAAUAAUCAAAUGUAAAUAUCUAAAAUAGUUAAAACUAGGUGUUUCUCCCGCAUUUGCGGGUUUAAGCAUUUUAUAAUUAUUUAUUAAUAUAUGCAUUACUAAAUAAGCAAUUAUAAUGAUAAAUUUCUAUUUUUUUUUAAAAAAAAAAAAUUGUAAUUAUUAUAAUUUUUUGAAUUUUUUUGUAUGCUAUAUUCAACAUUAAAUAAUAAAUGCUAGAAAUCACUCAAUACUAUCUUUUCAAUUAUAUAAAUUAAGAAUUUAUAUUGAUUCAUAUAAAUAUUUUAUUCAAAUAUAUUUUAGGAUAACCACACAAUAUAUAUAAGAAUUAUCUUUUGUUUUAAAAUAACUAUUUUUAUUUAUUUUUUAGAUUUUAGAUAAUUCUUAUUAUUAUUAGUGUUAAUCACUUACCUUGUAUAAGAAAAUUAAAACUUGUUUUUAUUAUAGCUAAUUUUUAUAUUUUAUUCAUUAAGGGUAACAUCGUAUUUAACCACUAUAACUUUUAAAGUGAGAUCUCCGUGGCGAAAAAUCACUUCGCAAAUAAUAAUAUAGACUAGGUGUUUUGCCCGCACAUGCGGACAUAGUCAUCUUACAAAUACUUAUUAUUUUAUGUCUUAUUAAUCCAAAAAUCAGCAUAAUAAAACUCUAAUUGGUGAACAUGUUGAAGGAAAAAAAUUAUGGUGAAUUCUUUGUUUCUCAAAAUUUAUACCAGUUAUGUUGAAAUUUUAGUCAAAUUAUUGAAAGGUAGAUCCCACUUUUUUCUUUUAAAUUCCCCAUGGAAGAAUGAAUUUAUAAGAAAAAAUUUCCCUAUGCAAUUUUGAUAAGGAAAAAAUUGAACAAAAAUUCAUAUAUUUUUUUAUUUUUUCAAUUUCUCAAAUGAAAUUUUAUUUUUUAUUUUGUUCAUUUUUUUUAUUCUUCCAGUGGUCACCAACUGAAGCUAUAGUGUUUCACGAAUUAGACUUAAACUGAUUUAAAGUAAAAGCAAGAAAAUUUGUUUUGAACUCAGUCACAAGUUAAGUUAUUAUUUAUGAUUUUAAAUAGCUAAAUAGAACAUCAAAUUAUUUAUAUAUGUCAAAAAACGUUCAUAAAACUGUGUACUUAUUAUUGUGUUAAAAGUUUUAAAACACUCAUCUAUUUGAAAUAGUUUAUAAAAUAUCUUUAUAUUAAUAUUUUUGUUCGACAAAUAUUUAAUUAUAAACUGUUUUAUAUCUUAGUUUUUUAACUUUAUAAUAAAAAAAUAUUGUUUUCAGAUAGCAACACAAUAUAUAUAAGAAUUCUCUUAAUUUUUAAAUAUAUUUUCACAAUUUUAUUAUAUUAGUUUAUAAUUAAUUAUUUAAUAUAACAUAUAAAUUUAAUAUUAUUAAAAUAAAAUUCGUGUUUUAUUAUAUAUAAAAUUCAUUACGGGUUUUGUGAAAAUUAAUAAAUACUCAGUUAAAAACUAAUAAUAAAUCAAUGACCUAUAUAAAAGCUUAAAACCUAAUAAAAUAUGACGAAUAAGAAAAUGAGAAUUUUAAUAUAACAUACAGACUUAAAUAUUAUUAAAUCAAAAUUUAUUUUUAAUUAUAUAUAAAUUCAUUACGAAUUUUUUUAAUUAAUAAAUUAGUGAUUCAACUAAAAAUUAUUAAUAAAUCAAUGACUAAGCUAAAACCUAAUAAAACAUGACAAAUAAGCAAAAUUGACUAAAAUCAUGGAAAAUAUGACAAAUAAGCAAAAUUAAAAUAAUUAUAUAUCUAAUUACAUAUUUUAUAGUUAUAGUAUUUAAAUUAAUAAAUUAUGGGCUCAACUAAAAACUAUUAAUAAAUUAAUGACUCAGCUUAAAUCUAAUUAAAUCUUGACAAAUAAAAAAUAUUAUCUAAAAUCAUGGAAAUCAUGACAAAUAAGCCAAAUCACUUCAUAAAUAAUAGUAUAGAUUAUCCAUUAAUAACUAUUUACCUAUGUUAUAUUUGUAAAAAGAAAAUUCCCAUGCGAAGCAUGGGCUCAAACUAGUAUAUACAUAAACCCUGUAUUUACUCCACCCAUAAACCCUAAAUACUAAAUCAGCAAGUCGAUCGAUUCUCUCUCGGAAGCUCUUCUUCAGUUGUGACCGUGAGUGCUCAUUGAGGUAUCAUAUCAUCUUCUUCUUCUCUUCUUCAAGAGCAUAAAGACUAGUGUUUUUUAUCAAUUCAUCAAUGCCCUUCUAGUGUUUUUUUUUUUUGCUUGCUUCGUAAUCUUACAGGUGUUUCUUGUAUCUCUUGAAAUAAGGACUUGUGUCUUAACAUCAAACUUGUUUGAUUUGUUUUUUCAGAUGCUUCAGAUUGCUUUUUAUUUGUCAUGUGGUGCCACAGCAUGUUACCUUUGGGGCCGGAGGAUUAAAGCGUUAGUCUUUUCCUCUUCCCAACCCUUUUGGAUUUUGAAUGUGUUGAAACACCUUUUAUCAAUCGAUAUGUGUGUUUGUGUUCCUGCGAUGGUGCAGGAAAGCUGACUCUUUUAGCAGUAUCACACGUGUGGUGGACUUCAAACGGUUAGGUGUGUUUUCUGUUUUAUAGUUAAGACUCUUGUUAUUAUUAUUUUAUUAAUUGGUUUCUGAUUACAAGUGAUCAUCAUGUUUUUUUCCUUCUCUUAGAUGAGCUGCUUAAAGAGAAAGCCUCGAAGCUCCUUGUUGUUGUGUCGGGAAAAGUUGCUUCUGCACUCCUUUGGGUGCUGUUUUUUAUGCUAAGGUAAAAGACUUCUUUUAUCUUCUAAAAAGUUGUCGUCAGCAUCAUCGUUCUCUGGUCUGGUGGUGUUAUUUUUAGUUAGAACAACAUGUAUACUGUGUCUUUCAGGCCGAAAUGGGGUGUACUGAGACCGAGUUGGGGGAUGAUGGUAGCGCUUGGAUAACAAAGUCUCAUAAUUUUCUGUUUCAAGUAAAGCGUUGUCCUUGGUAUCUUGUAAGUUACAUUCUCAAAUACCUUCAUUUUUUUUUUUGCUAUGUCUUGCCUGCCCCUCAUGACUUGAAGCCUACCUCUUUCUCUCGCUCGCUCAAUCAACUAUUUAGGAAGACAGUACUGGUGUGGUGAAAGUAGUGGGAGCUGAAGCUGCUGAUGACUUUCUUGAUACUCUGACACCGCAUUUGGAUAUGUCACUAAGUGAAAUCUUUGGUAGUAUUGUAGAACCUAAACAAGGCUCUCAGGUUACCUUUUCUCUUUCAUUUUUUUUUUGUCUUUCUCUGUUUAUUUUAGUCUUUUUCAUUGGGUUGGAACCAACAGUGUGAUUGUUUUCAUCUCUAGACGAUUUUUCGGGCUUCUCUCGAUACUGGUACCUCCUUAACUAUUAUUGGCGAGGUAAAGGAAGCCCCCAUGUGUUUAUUCUUUAUAUUGUGGAUCAUGUAAGAGUGGCUGUGCAAGCUAAUAUAAGUUGAUGUGUCUGUGUCCUUGUCUGUACUGUAGGCUGCUAGAGACGAAGCUGGUAAUCUCACGAUUCAAAACACCAAUGAACAGCCUUUUAGGAUCUUCAGUGGAGAGGGCUCGUUUGAUAAAAUGGUUGCCAACUUGAAGUCAAAUUCAGAGUAAGGACAGAGACUCAUCAUGUUUUUGUUUAUACAUGGUGAUGAUAAUCAAAUUUUCUUGUGUUAUUUUUUAUGCAGGUUUUAUUUUUUCUAUUCCAAGAUCUUUGGAACUAUUGCUUUUGCUAUAGUUGUUUUUAAAGGCGUGAGUUUCAUACGAAGGGUUUUACGUGAGAGAGCAGAUAAUGCUGAUUCAGACGACGAAGAAACGCCAUGAGGGAGUAGAAUCAGACAACAGUAGUUUAUAGGAUCAGCUUUAAAGGCUCAGGCAGAAGAAUCAGACACCAAUGAUUUAUAACUAGGAUAGAUUUUUUAUCUAUGGUAUUGGGUAGGCAAAAUGUUUAUGAAUAUUUUAACAAACCAUCGUUUCUUAUUCUGACAGAUGAACAAAUUUAAAAAAAAAUUAUAUUGUCCAAAUUAACUAUGUGAUUCUAUUACAUAGUUGAACACACGUUGAUUUAUUCUAUUUAUAGCUUUACAAAACUUGUUAAAAGGAUAUAAUUUAAUUUAAAUAAGAACAUUAUUUCAAUGUAAUAAAAGCAGACAUUUUCCCUUUGUUUGGAUCAAAUUAAUGUAAACAGCCAUUAAAUUAGUCAAUGAACAUAAAUUCACCAACUCGGACAUAUAAUGUACGAAAUAAAAACAUUUAAUUAAAAAGAAUAUCUGUUACAACUUACAAGUCAGUAAAAUGUUUAUAAAAAUAACAAAAGAAAGAGAAAAAAAAAAUACAAAAGUAAAAAAAAUUCAAACUUCCCUUGCAGAUUUUCUUCCUCAGACAUACAAACAAACAAACAGAACAUAAAAAGCAACCGUAUGAUAAAACAACUCUUAAACUCAGAUGGGGUUACCUGAAACUAAUCAUCUGAUGGUGACGAACUUGUUAGUCCCAUGUCUAGCCCAAUGGCUCUUAAGAUCAAUGGGGCUCCCAAAGUUAAACCCAUCAGAAGAAAGUUUCUCAAGAACCUUCUUAAACGCUCCUUGACUCAUCUUCCUCCCGGAGAUCCUCGCUCCACGGCGUUUAGUACUCAUCGGCAACGGGUGCAUCGAUAUGUUCGUGGUGCAACACGCAGACUGCCAACCGCCGCAUCCCCAACGGUAGCAUUGCUGAGGAGCUCCGGUGCAAGUGCAGACCGGUACAGGUAAACCGGAAAUGUCCAUGUUCACUCCGUUGAUAAUCAAGUCAACGCUUUUCUUAGCCGGUUUGACUCUUGAAACGUUAGUCUUGCUGUCGUUCUCUUCUUUCGGUUUACGAGGCUUCUUCCCCUUUGCUGUUGCGCUAGCUUUUGAGUUAGUCUUUCUCUUCUUGUUAGGCUGAACAAUCUCUUCUUCUUCUUCGCAUUUAACCGGGUUAUCCUCGGUUUGAUGAUGGUGAUGGUGAUGCAUGGACGGGGCUGAUGAAGUUUCGGGGAGAACGUUUCCGUAGUUAGGAGAGGUUGUUACAGGCAACAUGUUGAAGAACUUGUCCUUCUGUUGGUUAAUCCAGUUGUAGCUCAUGUGGAUUGGUGGCUCAGCGUGGUGGUAUGACCCGUUUUGGCCAAUCAUUAGAUUUGGAUCUCGACCGGGUAGAAACGGUUUAGUGUUCCGGUCAGCGCUUGACAUUAGCUGCAAACCGAGGUUGCCUUUGAACGUAGCAGCAGCUGGUUCGUAGUAACCCCAAUUGCGAAACCCAUCGUCAUCCAUUUUCAAAGAUCUACAAAACAUGUCAAUAUAAAAAAAAGACAAUCAGAGAUUCAAAUCCAAAUUCAGACAAAACAAAAGCCAGUUCAUGUUCCAAUUAGCCAAAAUCAAAUCAUCCUACCAUUUAUUAUAUCCAAUGUUCCAGAGAUAACACAUCAGAUGUUAAAGAUAGCAAGAAAACAAAAAUUAGAGUGGAUAUAUACAUGAAAUCCAGGGAACUUUUAUAUGAUAUUCCGACAUAAGAACAUUUUCUUGUCGGAACCAACAUGCACAGCUUCUAGAUCUGGGGAGUCCAGAGCUAGAUCUACGGAAAAUGGACAUGAAUCAAGGAGAUCCACAGCCAAAAUCUAAUGAAACAUCAAGAUAUGUACAUAUAUUGGACGGAGAUAAAAGGAUUUGAAGCAAAAGCGUUGUUGGUACAGUACAGGAAAAAAAGGUCCCAUUGUAAAUAUUCAAAACUGAGAGAAAGAGAGAGAGAGGCAUGAUAUGGAAAUGGAUUAGGAAAGAGAAAACUUACAUAUGAGAUUGGGUUAACAAACGGCUCUUUAAGGGAAUUUUUGCCCUUCUGGAGAGAGAGGAGAGAGAGAGAUUGGAGGGAGGGAGGAAAGAGAAGGAAGAGAGAGGAGAGAGAAACCUGAAGGGAAAGAUAAGAUCUGAAGAAAGGGAAAGGGUUUUUAUUUUUAUUUUUUUUGAGUGGAACAGAGAGAGAACCCUAAAAUAAUUGAAAAUCAUUUUCUAAUUUUAAAAUAUACACAAUCUAAAAUAAAUAUCUUUCCAAAAGGCUUUUUUCAUUUUUCUCUCCGCGUUGUACUUGAAAUGAAGACUUUCUUUUUAUGUUUGGUCACUGUAAGAAAGCCAUUUGAGAAGAAGACAAAACAAAAAAAAUAACAAAGCCCACUUAUUGGUCUUUUUGACAUCGUGUCAAAACCAAAUUUUUUAAAAGGCAACGAGAUCGUUCGUGAAAAGAUGAGACGAGGAACAUGAGAUUAUGAAGAAAAAAUACUAAUUCUUCAUAAAACUUUCUAUUGGUAAUUUUUUUUUUCUGUAAUAACAAAUUCUGUGUUUAGCAAACCGAACGUUUUGGGAAUGUUAAGACACAAGUGUAUCCAAUGUGAAGCUCAUAUUUUAUACAUAUAUUGCAUUGCUCAUAGUCAGAGCUUGUCCCUCGCAAAUCAUAAUAAUUCCAUUCCUGUGCGUUCUCUGAACCAGAACUUCGCUGAUUCCCCCAAAGUUAUCAAAUAGAUUUAAACAGAUGCAAAUAUUGCACAACGAUCAUGACUACCUUGAAUAAGAGAUUUGACAUUUAUUACAUACAAAAAAAAAGUCCGAAGGUAUGAUCAUCUUUUACAAUCCAUAAAAUAUAUAGAAAAGGAUACACGUAAGUAAUUUUAAUUUCCGUAGCCCAAAAUAACGAGAAGAAGAGAGAGACAGAGAAGAGAUGCUUUUUCAGGAAAUAAUCAGGCAUUAACAUUGUCAAUAUAUCUCUCUUCUUUCUAACAACCCAUCUCUUUAUCUUUUCUUUGUUCUAGCAAAAAUUCUUAAGGAGGCAGAAGAAGAAGAGAACCAUCGUAAGAAGAUAAAGACUUCUUACUCGCAUUUGAUAGACCGGUAAAUGUGACGAACGAAGAAAAGUGCAGCGCGGAAGCCGACAGUCCCGAGCAUUAAGAA
rnacentral:lncRNA from 1 species